rnacentral:misc_RNA from 1 species
CCAAACUUGGUCAUUUAGAGGAAGUAAAAGUCGUAACAAGGUUUCCGUAGGUGAACCUGCGGAAGGAUCAUUAACGUAUCUCCCACCGGCGGUCGGGUGGCCCCGCUCCGGUUUCGCGACCGUGCAGCGGGCCCCCUGUGCCGCCGGGCACUUUGCAAACCCACUGUGCACCUUUUUCGUGGCGAGAGGACGUUGGCGCGAGCCCGUCCGAACCCGCGUUCUUGCAGACUCGAGUUUGAGAAUGUCCAGCGGACUCUGUUUCCGCCCACUUUUUAAUGAGACAACUUUCAACAACGGAUCUCUUGGCUCUCGCAUCGAUGAAGAACGCAGC